rnacentral:rRNA from 1 species
GGAGGGCCGUAUUUAUUAGAUAACAGACCAAUAUUCUUCGUGUCUAUUGUGGUGAAUCAUAGUAACUAAUCGGAUCGUAUGGGCUAGUCCCUCGACAAACCAUUCAAGUUUCUGCCCCAUCAGCUUUCGAUGGUAGUGUAUUGGACUACCAUGGCUUUCACGGGUAACGGAGGAUUAGGGUUCGAUUCCGGAGAGGGAGCCUGAGAAACGGCUACCACAUCUAAGGAAGGCAGCAGGCGCGUAAAUUACCCAAUUCUGACUCAGAGAGGUAGUG